rnacentral:tRNA from 1 species
GGGGAAGUAGUUCAACGGUAGAACGACAGGAUGUACUUUUAUCGCCUUCUUACUUCCGAAAGGAAUGUUGCAGAUAAGAGUUACUUAGGGACCUUGCAGGUUUGCGGUUCGAUUCCGCACUUCCCCU